UCCACGUCAGCCAAUCAGAACGGCGCCCGGCGGUAAGAAGUACGUGCGGUGUCCGUGUAACUGCCUGCUGGUGUGCAGGGCGUCGGCGCAGCGCAUCGCCUGCCCCAGGCCGUACUGUGGGCGGAGCUCCCCGAACGCUCAUUGGCUCGCUGCCCGCACUGCCGCAAGGUGUAAGUCAGGCACCGCCCCCUUUUCCCCGCGGACACGCCUCCUUUUAUGUGUGGGUGUGGCCUCGCCCCUCUCCGGAGCUGACCACGCCCCCUCUGGCCCCGUCCAGGUCUGCGAUUGGCCGGCGGUUCCCACGGCGACGCUGCCUCUGCUGCCUAUUGGCCGCCCUGCUGAUGGGCGGGGCCGCGGCUGGGCUGGCGGUGAGGGGUGGGGAUAAAAGGGGGUGGGGAUAAAGGGAGUAAUGGGUGGGGCUUGAAGGGGGAGGGUGUUUGAGGGGUGGGACUUGAGUGGGUGGGGCCUUAAUGGGUGGAGCUUUAAAGGAGGAGGGGAGUAAAUUGGGUGGGAGAUGGAGGGCGGAGCUUUAAAGGGGGAGGGGCUUUAAAGGGUGGAGCUUAAAUGGGAGGGCAUUAAAAGGGGGAGUGGCUUUCAAGGGUGGGGCCUAAGUAGGUGGGAUUUGAAAUGGGAGGGGCUCUUAAGGGGUGGAGUUUAACAGGGUGGGAAUUUAAACGGGUGAGGGUUAAAGGGGUGGGGCUUUAAUGGGUGGGGCUUAAGUGGGUGGCGUUUUAAUAGGUGUGACUUAAGCGGGUGGGGUUU
rnacentral:lncRNA from 1 species